GGCUGCUCUGAAUAUAAUGAGUUAUCUCGAUUGUUCGCAGUUACAGAUUGAACUCCUUGUUCUCUUUCCCACCUUCUCACUAUUGAACUUGACUAGUCAAAA
rnacentral:Y_RNA from 1 species